AACCUUAUAGUCAAAUUUUGAUGUCAGACUGCAAUUCUGGAGGUGUAGGGUUAACCCUUCUAAGGUUU
rnacentral:tRNA from 1 species